AUGACCCCACGUCUCCUCUUCCUUUACUGAACGAGACUGAAAUAGUUUUAGCUACUCCAGGGUGAUUUGAGGGGGCGGUAGUACUUUGGAUGCCUAAAGCGACUUUGAGGAGACUGCAAGUCAAUUCCAACUGAUAGAGGGACCGACGAGAGUUUGAAUGGGGAAUAAAUCAGUUUCACAGGAUCUUACCACCAGAGGGCGCUCCUUCUCUGGAUAAUAUGGAGCUGUGAUCAACAUGUAUCAGGCUGAUUUUCAGACAGCGGUUUAAAAACAAGAACAAUGAAUGUGGAGUUCUGUCAGUUCUAGGUCUUGUUCAACAAUUGACAGGGUUUUAGGUAAUUUAAAAAGUCUAGUAUGGGGGGGGGGGGGGGGUGUUGCUGUUACCGGUGGACAGAAUAAUCCAUCUGACAGGCCCGGAGCUCCUUAUCUCUAUCCUAUUCCAUAAGUUGUCUGGAUCAUAAAGCACUGAGUGUUGCACCUACCUGCCUGAUGCUUUGGCAGCUUGAAAGACCAUGGCUCCAUCUGUAGGUGGACAGUCAACCCGUGAGACGAGCUACAUGGACUACUAAAUGGACUGGUGCUACAUGCCUUAAGUGUGUCAUGUUGUGGUUCCUCUGCUCACAGUAGAACAGCAGUCAGUUUUGAGUGAUUAGGAUGUAGUUGCCUUAUUAGACCGCUUGCUUGGUUAAGACCUGGCCUAAUGGCCUUGCAUUGCAAAAACUGUCUAGUGUGUAAUGGUCUAAUGACACCAUGCUAUAGCUGUAAGCAAAAUACAAAGUCAGUAGAUGGUUGUGAUUAUCCGAGCAUUGUUUGGCUCUUAGGAAAUAAUUAAAUCCAUUUGUUUUACAACCACCCCUAUCCAAAACAACACUUAACAUAGAUAUCACUGUUUUUGCACCCGAGCAUUUGACUUCGCAGCAAAUUAUGCUUUCAUAAUCUGGACCUUCUACUUUUCUUUUCUUUAAACGUGGCAAUCACAGAGGACACAUGCUAAAGCUGGUAUAUAAGGCUAUGUGCAUUAUAUAUAUGUACAUUAUCUUUUCCCUGCCAUUGCCCAAAAAUAACAUUCUCAUUAAAGAUGCAUUACAGAAACUUAAGCACAGCAAAUUUGUAUUGUGUUACUAAUUGGAUUCCUAAUGUAUCAUAUGAAUUGCAUGCAAAAUAAAGGUUGUAACAUAAUAAAAUAGAUUAUCUAGUACAUAAUUGGAUGACAGUGUCCUCCUGACAAUGUAAAUAAACAACAGUUUACAAAGAUGUUUAGACUAUUU
ensembl:lncRNA